UACGUAGGGUCCGAGCGUUGUCCGGAAUUAUUGGGCGUAAAGGGCUCGUAGGCGGUUUGUUGCGUCGGGAGUGAAAACACGGGGCUUAACCCCGUGCCUGCUUCCGAUACGGGCAGACUAGAGGUAUGCAGGGGAGAACGGAAUUCCUGGUGUAGCGGUGAAAUGCGCAGAUAUCAGGAGGAACACCGGUGGCGAAGGCGGUUCUCUGGGCAUUACCUGACGCUGAGGAGCGAAAGUGUGGGGAGCGAACAGG
rnacentral:rRNA from 1 species